GGGCACAUUGUUUUCACAAAGGCAGCACGUAGUGCUGUGCAAGCAGUGCUAACGCUACGGAAGUUUUCUACCAGCGAGCGGGCGGCCGUUGUACGGUGCGUGUGAGGUAAGGUGAAGCUGUCUCACUUACCAACAUUACUUCUCUUAUUGCAAACGCAUCGUACUUUGAGAUCUGGCACAGGGAGCUCGGAGCUGGCUGUCGGGGUAUGCAGGAGAAAAAGGUGAAAGCAGCAGUGAGGACAGUUCAUUUUCGUGUUGUGAGCGAUGGUUGGAUGUUCUUUGCAACGUGCAGUUUGAAAACCAUAUAAUGAGAGAUACUAAGGUGAGAAUUUCCUAGUAAACCUCUAUCUCCCUAUUCUUAGGCUUGCACCUCCUGAAUUUGAGAAUCGUGUUUUAAUUCUGAACUUUCUGUGAAUGUCACUCGAGAAAAAAACGUCCCUGUAGGUUUUUCCUAUCCGUGCUUCUGAUCAUGGGAAUUUUCAUGAAGUUCACUCUAUUUUAGCUAAAUAAUACUGGGGAUGUUUUUUAGUCCAAUAUGAAAUACAUUCCAUCAUUUUGAGGGAAGACACUGUGCUUAUCAAAGGCUGCUGGGCGUGCGUGCCCUUAGGUGCGGGAGCGAGAUGUUGAGAAGUGGGGCUCGUGCUCUGUAAUUGCCAGGUUUCCUGCUGUGGUUUCAUGCAAGUUUGCGUAAGGUGCUUAAAACACUGAUAAAAGUUAAGUCUGAGAUGUGAAUGAGAAUGUUAGAUUUGUGUUGUGUAUGUGUGUGUAAAUACAGCUUUUCCCUUUAGGUUCUCUUGGUGUUUGGAGAGAAUGGGAAGUUACUCCUCCAAACCGAAACCAGUUACACCAAGACCCAUCUCCACUACUAUUACUGUGCAUACCACUGUACAGACCUCUACUGCUGCCUUACCAGAUUCAGAAGGCGAAUCCUUGUUUGAUAACCUCGAAAUACUCUACUUAGCACUAGCCUUUAUCUCUGGCAUCCUGUCAACUCUUCUGGUGGCUGCGGUCAUCAGCCUCAUCAGAAAAAGGUGUAAGAGAUCCCAAGAAAAUCUACAAGAACAAGUUCCUUCCAAGGCACCACGUGAGGAAUCUGCUGAAAACACCCAGAAUGAGGUCUCUUACGCCUCUGUGGUCAUCAAGCCCCGACCGAAAGCAGCACCUGUAUGACAGUGGGACUUUGACGUGAGAACACCCGCACUUUCUGCACGUUGGAUGCCGUGGGAUUGUUGCACGGAGGGCUGUCGUGCUCUGUGAGAUAUCCAGGCUGCAGUACGUAACAUCGGCUGAAUGCAUAGCUAGGAGGGGAAAACAGCAUCUCCUAUUGCACAGCUCUUGCCAACGUUGGGGACAAGUUGCUUUCCACACCACCUUUCCUCAUCUAGAGCAAUCCUGGUGACAACUUGUUGCACAGUUUCUGUGUGGGUUUUCGCUAUUGCUUGGAACUGCUGAAGAGAACUGAAAAGCAGAAGUGUUUCUCUGCACCUGUCCAUAUCUGUGCCCUUAUUUCCCUGUUCAGCCGCUGGCUGCAGCGUUUUUGAUAAGAGUGCCCGAUGCCUUGGUGAAAUCACUGAACUAUAUUAUGAUGCACCACUGCGGGGCAGCACCGAGCAGCCGCUGGAAGCACCCGAGCAAAGUUUGCUCUGCGUUACUGUAAGGUGUAGCGUUUUGUGUUUGGGUUUUUUUUCCCUGCUGAAAGCAUUCGGUCCCAUCUACCGACAGCGAUCACGUCGCCAAGCUGUGAUGUAUUCGUGCAGUGACUUCCUUUGCCAGCUGCUUUGUUAAGGACCACUUUUACUAUGCGAAGAUGGAGAAAAAAGAGCCUUGCCUUUAAUUGCCUGUGCUCAGCUUAACCCACGUUCCCUGAAACCAAGCUGUGCUAUAGCAUCUACUGCAGUUUCUAAGCUGCUGGGACACCUGCUAAAACAGAGCAGGGAUUUAAUGCAACGUGCUGACUUUGCAUAAAAUCCACUUAAUAUUUAUUAUCCUUCAUGAAGAUGUGGCAGCACUGACUGCAGCACAAGCUGCCCAGACUUCAUCUGAUGGUCUAAAUGGACAGGAGAUGAUGGGUGUAAGAGGAGGCAGUGAGGACAUCCUGCAUUGCAAGCAUUUACCCUGUUUUUCAGUGUACCCAAACAAUCCUUAUGGGGGGAAAAAAUGGACCAAAUCUUAACACUUUUCUGUAUUUUGAAACUAUAUAAUACAGACUUAAGACAUAUAUACAGACCCAGGGGGUGGGGGCAGCUCCUGGUGCAGUCUUUCAUUUGCAGAGGGAGGUCUCGUGAUGCUGUAACCGCACUUGUGCUGUGGGAACGAAAUGUCGGUGCAGGUGUGGUUGUGUGCAAGUAAAGAGAAAGCAAAAUGCUGACCAAAAGACUUGUCGGGCUUGAGUUAAAGCUAGAAACUAGCAAGAAGCGUUGCGUGAUUUCUUACUGCCGGUGGAUCGGAGCUGGAAGUAAAAAGUCCAUCUCGGUAACUGUGCUUUGGAUCACAGUCUGCCAAGCAACACUCAAGUCAGUAAACAAGAACCAGAAGGUGCUCUUAAAGGCAGGUGCUUACCUGAGAAGGUCUGGGCUUGGUACAGCGACAACCAAGCCAAAUUUACCGGGGUAUAAUAAUGUAGAAGUUUGCAAAUGAACUUUUUGGGCUUAAUGUCAUGUGGGGAUCAGAUAGUGUAUGGGGAGCUUGCCCUUAUUGUUAACAGUUUGUGUAAGACAGCAGAUGAAACAGGACACGGUUUUUUAUCAUGAGUUCCUUAAAGCGUUUUAUCGGUGGUCUGGUACAGGCUGGUGGGUCAACGUUCAUUCUGUGUCUACGACAGCCGGUGUGUUUAAUCUGUAAGAACUGGGCAUGGCUUGGGGCUUUUUUCUGCAUAGGAUGUAGGUCCUUAAAAUUAAAAGGUACGUGGUUUUGAA